rnacentral:lncRNA from 1 species
GCUCUUCGUCGCGUGGAUAAAGCCCCAAGCGACCGUGAAGCCUCUUUUUCCCCUUUGAACCACACCGCCGACCGCCACCACCCAACGACAAAAUUCACCAUUGCCUUGGCUUCUCCCUCCCCUAGCUCCUGCUCCUAGCUUCGCCGCGAACUCAGCUACCACCUGGACCCCUCACCGCACGCUCUAACCCCUUGAAGCUUCCAGCCGAGCCCGUCUUUCCCAACUCCGGCAGAAACGCCGCCGCGAGCACCUCACCGUGGCCAGCCCUCCUCCAAGCAUCUUCACUGCCGCUAUCUUUUUGAAGUCACGGUGAGCUACUGGUGCUUGUGCGCCCCUUGGUUUGUGCUUUACUUGCUUGCAGCGGCCGACGUUAGCGCGACCGAGGUCACCGUCCGCCAUGGACGCGGCCGUAAGGGUUAGCAGAUAAGAGAGCGUCCGAAAAGGGUGUCAACGGGUGCGCGAGAAGAUGGGUAAGCUAGCACGCCCCUCCACGAUGGCCGGAGGCUCGCUGACGGUGUGCCUAAGCUCGGCCAAACCGGUGGCGAGAGGAGGGAGACAGAGCUGACACAGUGGCCCACUGCCAGUGACGUCGUGAGAGGGGGGAGGCGCGCGCAGCGCGUGGGAGACGCGUGCACCGGCCUAGGCCGAGGUUAAGCGGGCCAGUCGUGACAGCACAGUGUUAUUUUUCUUUUUUCUUUUUAUAUUAAAAGUGUUUUAUGUUUGAUUUUGUGUAGAAAAUUGUGUGCAGAUCCAAAAUGGUGAAAAUAUUUGAGUAGAACGUAGGAAAAAUGUUAAAUUUCAUUUUUUGAUAUUUUGAACAUGUGUAAAAAUUGUGUUCUUUAUUUAAUAAAUAGAACUUCCAUGAUUUUUAGGGAUUUAUUAAUAUGUCUAAAAAUCACCAAAAUUUGUGAGAUGUCUCUGAAUAUUAUUCCCUAGCUUCACACAAAAUUUGGUGGCAUUUGGAUAAUGUUUGUAAAAAAUAUUAAUGUACCCUUAAUUAGUAAUUAAGUAAUAACCCUAAAAUAUUUAGAUAAUAAUUAGCUUAAUUUUUAAAAUUAGGAAUUGAGUGCUUUUGGGAUUGUGUGAUGACCUGAGGUCAUUAAUCUUAAUGACCUUUAGCAUUUAAUUAUUGUUUGGUAUUAAUGCUUAAUUAUUGUUAUUAACACUUAAUUAAGGAUUAAUUAAGAUAAUUAAGAUCAAUAAUU